CGGCUCGGCACGGCUCGGCCUGGCACGGCGCGGCGCGCUGGGGCCGCGCCGCCAGCUAGCGCUUCCCUUCUCCUCCAGUCACGUUACACGUAAAAACCGCUCAGCAGCAACCAGUGCCCAACGCGUAACGACUGCCCGCAGAAACGGAGGGGACGCUCCCCGCCGAAAGAGGAUGCAGGCUCAAGCAGGGAAGGCAGACGUCUCGGACCAGCUACCUCAUCUUCUCUUAGGACACGAUUAGGUCUCCUUUUAACAGAGAAAAUACCGCUUAUCACACACUAAAAUGUGUCAGGUGUUACAGGCUGCUGUUCAGCAAGAACUUGUCUUUGCCGACAAGGCAUUUCUGUGUACAGUGUGCGGGGAAGCAUCAGGAAAUAAUGGAGGCCAGAAAGCAAGCUGUUGCAGUAAGUCAGUAAUGGUGCCUCCAAUCCUGGCUGACCGCUGAACUGGUGCUCCUUCUCCCCACCACUCUGGAACAGGCUGUGGCUUCCCGUUUCCUUCAGCCCACCUCAGUGUUUCGCUGUCUGCUCAUUAAAAGGAGAUCAGUCCAGGAGAUUCUGAUUCUUUGAUGAUUUGAUUCUGUGAAAAUUGUUAAGGAUCUACUCUUACAUGAACUAUCACCACAAUUAGCAACAUAGCUGAAGGAAGAGAGGACCAGGUUUAUGAAGUAACAGAGGCUGAAUCCAGGGUGUUUCUGUCUUGGAAGUGAUCCCUAUAUAUGAAGA